rnacentral:rRNA from 1 species
UAUCAGCUUGUUGGUGAGGUAAUGGCUCACCAAGGCUUCGACGGGUAGCCGGCCUGAGAGGGUGACCGGCCACACUGGGACUGAGACACGGCCCAGACUCCUACGGGAGGCAGCAGUGGGGAAUAUUGGACAAUGGGCGGAAGCCUGAUCCAGCAACGCCGCGUGAGGGAUGACGGCCUUCGGGUUGUAAACCUCUUUCAGCACAGACGAAGCGCAAGUGACGGUAUGUGCAGAAGAAGGACCGGCCAACUACGUGCCAGCAGCCGCGGCUGCUGGCACGUAGGCCGCGGGCUCAUCC